rnacentral:lncRNA from 1 species
UCUCCAAAAAAUUUGAUUGGUUGAAUUUCUUGUUAAAAAUCUCCAAAAUCCUCAUGUAUAUUCUAAAGUGUCGCAUAUCAUCUCUAACAAGUUGAUAGAACAUACGUUGAAUAUUCCCCAAUGUCUUUUCUUCAGCAAAUUGUCAUCCCUAGUAAGUCCUCGCCCUCAUUGUCCUUUUCAUUUCCUAUGGAUAACCGUUCCAUAUAUUUCCAUUAUUCCCCACAGACUCGCCUUUCAUUCUUCAUCCAUCAUUAAAUCUUAUGCUAG